AGGGGUAUAGUUCAAUGGUAGAACGACGGUCUCCAAAACCGCCGUUGUGGGUUCGAUUCCUACUGCCCCUGCCA
rnacentral:tRNA from 1 species